rnacentral:rRNA from 1 species
AACGAACGCUGGCGGCAGGCCUAACACAUGCAAGUCGAGCGCCCCGCAAGGGGAGCGGCGGACGGGUGAGUAACGCGUGGGAACGUGCCCUUUGCUACGGAAUAGCCCCGGGAAACUGGGAGUAAUACCGUAUAAGCCCUACGGGGGAAAGAUUUAUCGGCAAAGGAUCGGCCCGCGUUGGAUUAGGUAGUUGGUGGGGUAAUGGCCUACCAAGCCGACGAUCCAUAGCUGGUUUGAGAGGAUGAUCAGCCACACUGGGACUGAGACACGGCCCAGACUCCUACGGGAGGCAGCAGUGGGGAAUCUUAGACAAUGGGCGCAAGCCUGAUCUAGCCAUGCCGCGUGAGCGAUGAAGGCCUUAGGGUUGUAAAGCUCUUUCGUGGGGGAAGAUAAUGACUGUACCCCAAGAAGAAGCCCCGGCUAACUCCGUGCCAGCCGCCGCCGUAA